UCUUUAGCUCUAAAUUACUUAAAAGCCAUGAGUCCACACACGGGGAAGGGUCUUGUAGGAGUGGGGAUACUUUGCAACAUGCUAUGGUCAGUGGUCCUAGUGCCACCUUUCAAUUGUGCCAAUAACAGCCUGGCCAAGAACAGUGAGAGAAGUUCAAAACAUUAACAUUGAAGGAUGCAGCCUUCUAUCAAAAUUCCUAGAUGACUUGCAAUCCAGCUUUUUGCAUAGCACGCCUCGUGUCCACUUUAAUGACUACCAAAACGAGAAUGUCCUUUGCAUGUUACCAAGACCUGCAUUGAGUUAUCUGUGACAAAACUAUGAACGGAGUUCCAAUGACAGGUGACAAGAUCACUUGCCAGAUAAUUUGGAAGGUUGCUCUGUAGACACACAUGCUGAAAGGUUUGGGGCUGUUACACGACUAUAAGGGCUUCCUUUUGAUGAAAUGGAGGGCUUGGUAAUGCUGGGAGUUGUUCAGUCAUUCAAUUCAGACUACUCAGAGAAAACUACAGCUUUGUGGCAACAUGUUGUACUCUGCAGUAAAGUGUCUUGAAAGGACAAAGACAAGCCCUUGCUUCUCCCUUUGCCUAGUGGCAAAUCCUAAUGAAUCCUAGGUGAUAAGACCACAUGCCACAUCCUGGAGGUGAUAGGACCACAUGCCAGAAAAUUUGGAAAGCAGCUCUGUAGACACACAUGCUGAAAGGUUUGGGGCCGUAACAUGACUAUAAGGGCUUCCUCUGGAUGGAAUGGACAGCUUGGUAAUGCUGGGAGUUGUUCCGUCAUUCAAUUCAGUCUGCUCUUAGAAAACUACAGCUUUGUAGCAGCACAUGUUGUACUCUGCAGUAAACUGUCUUGGAAGGACAAAGACAAGCCCUCGCUUCUCUCUUUGCCUAGUGGUGACUCUUUUCAGAACUUCCGAGGCAACGUAAUGGUAAUCUGGCAUCAAACCUUACAUACCCAAACAUUGUGACGCUGCAUGCCUAUAGCAUUUACCGGUACUUACAGAGCAAAUCAAGAGUUAGUCUAGAUUUGAAUGUUGUAUAACAAGAAACACAUCAGCUGCGAGGAAUAAACUACCAAUAAUAACCACAAUUCUCUCCAUGACUGACUGCAGCAGAAUUGUUUCAAAGGUCAAAUUACCAGUCUGUGCUCUUCAGAUUUACACGGUAACAUAAAACUAUUGAACGGCUUUAAACAGGCCCUCCCUUCCCAAGGUGUCAAAAAUAAACCUUUCUAGAGUGGAAGGGGGUAAGCAUCAGCAAAACAGCAAUCACUGACAAACUAAGGCGACACGGGACAUGAUAACCAUGUGCAAUAUUGCCAUAAUUAAGUAAUAUUGAUGUUCGCCAUUUAGAAACUUAUUUUGUCACUUUCCUUUUCCACAUUGUUCUGGCUGAAUUUCCAUUGCUGGCAAGCCACACCCACCCCAUAUAAGGCAUUGGGAGGUCAAAAUGCAUAAGAAACUAACAAAUUAUCUGGAAAUAUCAUGUUUGAAAUAAAUUAAAAAGUACACCCUUUAAUGAACCAAGUUAAAAAAGGCACAAGUCACCAGACUUUGUUCGUCGAGGUAGGGUGACCCUAGGGAUGAGCAACUUACUUUCGAACUGGGCAACUGCACUUUUGGUUUUGUACCAUCCAUAAUUUUCUGGUCUCAAGGGAACCUUGCAGUUGAUGAAUAUGCUUUAACACAUAUCAACACACCUCACCAGGAUGGCAUUGAUCUGUUUACAGAAGCGACUGAGUAUUGUCUCAGUUUUGAAAGGCCCACGAAGAUGUAUUCUUUCAUUUCUAGAUCUAGUAUAUCACAAGUUCUUCAAUAUAGCCUUUUAGGGAUUAGCUGAACAAAGAAAGCAAAUUAUCCCAGACACAAAUGUUUCGAAGGUUACAAAAAAAUACAAAUUCCUGAGAAAAUUUUGAAGGUUCUCUGUGGGCUUCCCAUGACUACAAAAACCUUUAAAAAAAAUUAAGGUAGCUGUAUCACAACAGCCUCACCCCCCAGGCUAAAUUUAGCGUGAGAUUUGCAUACUUAUUACAAAAUGCUGUAGUUUUAUUGGCCAAAGAACACUUAUUUUACACAAAGCAAUACAGCCUGAGCAGAAUUAACUUCCUAACCUGACCAUGUAGUAUUGCUUAUUUCCAGGCAAGGACACAAAACUAUUUCAGCUUGAUUGCUUCUUAAGGGUCUAGAUCACUUCAAAGUUUACCAAUCCACUUGCAGAAUGGCACAGAAACUACAGAAAUGCGAAAACUUAAGACAUGUCAUGUGCUGCCACCUGCUAUCAACUUCUUCCUAACAAGGGCCAGCACUUGAUGAGUACAUUAAUUUUCCUCAGUUGUUUUCAAGUCUCGGUGAAAUGUCCCAGCAGAGCCGAGAAAAUAAGGUUCAAGUUGUUUGUCAACGUAUAAAAAACUUAAAAUUUAACAAGUAUUACCUAUCCCAUUGAAAUACAAUGAACUUGUGAAAUUUUUUUGACACCUAUAUGGCACAACAAAGUUUUUGACUGGCCAGUCAUGGUUCUCCCAAUAUGCCCAACUGUAAAGUCUUCACAACAACUAGAGGUGCAUUUCAAACAGUUCUCUGACUCCCCUAUUGCCAGGUAAGCAAACAGAGAUUGGACUUCUAAUUGGCAGACACUUGCUACUUAAAUUUGUAGGCCAUUUUGUCCCAAAUGGAAAGAGAAAUUUCUCCAAUGUGGUAGCUCUAGUGGCUUUGUCAAUGCCAGACCCAUCUAGUGUCUUUGGCCAGAUCGUUGCAGCUUGCACUUCAGUCAAAAAAUGUGAGUUUUCAUUUUAAGAUUUCACUGCACAGUCACCCUAACAGACAAAAUUUCCAUUGUUAAAUCACUUAUUGCAAAAGAGCAUGAUUUCUCUUUAUUUAGACACCUAUAUCCUCUUUGUACAAAAGCAACUCAACAGAGUUGACCUGCCUCAGUGUCUGGUCUUACUAGUUCACCAACUAUUUUAACAAGUCAUCCAAUGGGGUUUCUGGCAGAUUGUUGUUUUGUUUUUUUGGGAAAACAGUUUGAACACAAAUUGAAAAGUAAAAAUUACCAAUGCAUUUCAAAGUUGAACAAUCAAGUUAGGUAGUUAUGCUGUGCAGAAAAUUGGGCUAAUUGACAGAGCAAUGAUCACUUAAUCUCUGUGAUAAACUUAAAAUUAUUUCUACCCUAUUUAUAGAAAUAUGCAGAAAAUGGACAUAUGAAGAAAAUUCAGUAUCCAAAACUGCUAACCUUUUGGCCCUCUACAGAUGACCCAGACAAAGCUCACACUGUUUAGUCUAGCUAUUUGCAAUUGCCUCACUAUUAUACAUUUUAAGUGAAUUUGAAUAAAAUGAAGACAAUGAAAUUCAGUUUAGAAUUUUUUUCCAGAUACUUUGAAAAUAGAAUAUGCAGUCUUUCAUUUGGUAACCCUCUUGAUAGUAAGAUAAUUAAAAUGCAACAGAGAUUGGCAGGUGGGCAAAUGAUAACACCCAUUGUCUUGAUGACUAGUGUACAAGAUAUCAAUGUAAAAUGCUGUGCAGCACCCCAAAGCGUACAGAAAUAACAAAUGUGGAAUGCAGAGUGUAACAAAGCUUGUUAAUUCCUCUUUGUAAUGUUCUUUCCCCACAAAACCAUUGAACUGGAUUGUUGAGAGGGAUGUUGAGUGGUCUGUUUGUAAUUUUGCCCCAAGCACCUCCCAAGAUCUUGCAGUGGAAGGGCAAAAAGGAAUAAUAAUGCAGAAGUCCCAUUUAGUUCAUGGUCAAAAUGUUUCGUACUGCUCUUGAAUUCCGCCACAUCUUCAAUCAGGAGAAGAGUCUGAGUGCUUCUUUACAUAAUUUUCAUCUCAGCAUGGACAAAUCAUCAU